rnacentral:rRNA from 1 species
AGCGAACGCUGGCGGCAGGCUUAACACAUGCAAGUCGAGCGGGCACUUCGGUGUCAGCGGCAGACGGGUGAGUAACACGUGGGAACGUACCCUUUGGUUCGGAAUAACGCUGGGAAACUAGCGCUAAUACCGGAUACGCCCUUUUGGGGAAAGGCUUGCUGCCGAAGGAUCGGCCCGCGUCUGAUUAGCUAGUUGGUUGGGUAAUGGCCUACCAAGGCGACGAUCAGUAGCUGGUCUGAGAGGAUGAUCAGCCACACUGGGACUGAGACACGGCCCAGACUCCUACGGGAGGCAGCAGUGGGGAAUAUUGGACAAUGGGCGCAAGCCUGAUCCAGCCAUGCCGCGUGAGUGAUGAAGGCCUUAGGGUUGUAAAGCUCUUUUGUCCGGGACGAUAAUGACGGUACCGGAAGAAUAAGCCCCGGCUAACUUCGUG